AACCCGCAAGCAAGGGUUCCAGAUCGAAAAUUAUCAUGAUAUUAGGUAACUUAUUGACUGAAACAUUCAUAAGAAUUUAUAGCUGGAGCACGACUCCUUACACAAGGACUGAAAUCAUCAACAAAGCUAGCAACAUAACACAAAUAGUUACCUAACAUAUCUUGCUCCUAACAUAUAUAUUGACAAAACGUUUAUCCUGAUGCCUGAAAGAAUCACUAAACUUUUAUACCUCGGCUUCCUCGACAUUUCCUUCUUCCUCCCCACUAAUAUCUUGCUCCUCGUCGCCAUGAUAAUGCAAGUUUAAAAAUUGGCUGCCAUCGUUCUCGUCCUCAUCAAACUCUGGAGCUAUGUGCCCAGUACUACCACGAAUGAGCUCGUGCAUUAACUCGUCUUGGUUGUCCGUAGGAUCCAUUUCCACUGCCUGAAACAAUAAAAAACAAAGAGAGUGCAUAAGCCCCGAGCAUAAAAAACAAAGAGAGUGCAUUAUUUUUCUCGGAAGAAUAAUUUUCCUCAUUUAUAAACCAUGGAUUAAGAUAUUCUCUAUAUAUAUUUCUUGAUCUAAUUUUGAGUCGGACUAAUUUUGGAUGUCAACACACACUACUAGCCUUAAUCCAUGAUAAGAUCCCAAACAUUAACAAACAUCUCUAGAAACUAAAAGCUCCGCAAAAAUGAAAAUCUUUUGGCGAAAUCUUCGAAGAGGGGUAAUAAUCUUAACAAAAGACAUUGCAUCCUCAUUAAGCAAAUUGGCAGGGUAGUAAAAGUUCUCCUUUUAUCGUACUGACAAAAGGAGACAGUUUUUUUCCAAGUGCCGCCUCACUCAUUUGGUUUGGGCAGCUAUCCAUGUGACUUUAAUUUGGGGCUCCAGCAACUUCGUAGUGGGACACACAGGUUUGGUAUGCACAUUGUAUGUUCAUCCCUCAUGGAAGCAUUGAAUAAUGGAAGCCAACCUGAAAGGGUCCUACAGUUGAUGAAAUUCAUGAAGCAAAAACAGAUACCGUUGAACCAAAAGGCUUAUUUUGAGAUAAUAGCUUCAUGCAGCAUGCUACGGGAAUGGAAAACAGCCAGUGAAAUAAUUGAGCAAUUGGAUUCCUCCCUCUCAUCCAUUUCUGUUGGCACACUAAACCAUCUUUUGAAUUUUCUUGGAACCGUGCAAGUGAUUGUUUGUCUAAAAAAACAGUAUAGUGAUGACUGUUUUUGUAUUUGCACUGAAUUAAGGAAUGCAUAUUCCUCUAAUCUGUUCACUCAAA